CAUGUACUCCCUCUGUCCGGAAAUACUUGUCAAAGAAAUGGAUGUAUCUAGAUGUAUUUUAGUUCUAGAUACAUCCACUUUUAUCUAUUUCUGCGACAAGUAAUUCCGGACGGAGGGAGUACUUU
rnacentral:pre_miRNA from 1 species